UUGGAGGGCAAGUCUGGUGCCAGCAGCCGCGGUAAUUCCAGCUCCAAUAGCGUAUAUUAAAGUUGUUGCAGUUAAAAAGCUCGUAGUUGAAUUUCGGGAUUGACGUGAUGGUCAUGCCUUAAGGGGUAUGAACUGUCACUGUUGAUUUCUCACCUUCUGGAGAAACUUGAUGUCCUUUAUUGGGUGUCUUGCGGAUCCAGGACCUUUACCUUGAAAAAAUUAGAGUGUUUAAAGCAGGCAUUUUUUGCUCGAACACAUUAGCAUGGAAUAAUAGAAUAGGACGGCAUGGUUCUAUUUUGUUGGUUACUAGAAUCACCGUAAUGAUUAAUAGGGAUAGUUGGGGGCAUUAGUAUUCAAUUGUCAGAGGUGAGAUUCUUGGAUUUAUUGAAGACUAACUACUGCGAGAGCAUUUGCCAAGGAUGUUUUCAUUAAUCAAGAACGAAAGUUAGGGGAUCGAAGACGAUCAGAUACCGUCGUAGUCUUAACCAUAAACUAUGCCGACUAGGGAUCGGAUGAUGUUAAUUUUUUAAUGACUCAUUCGGCGCCUUACGGGAAACCAAAGUGUUUGGGUUC
rnacentral:rRNA from 1 species